UGGGGAAUCUUGGACAAUGGGGGCAACCCUGAUCCAGCCAUGCCGCGUGAGUGAUGAAGGCCUUAGGGUCGUAAAGCUCUUUCGCCUGUGAAGAUAAUGACGGUAGCAGGUAAAGAAACCCCGGCUAACUCCGUGCCAGCAGCCGCGGUAAUACGGAGGGGGUUAGCGUUGUUCGGAAUUACUGGGCGUAAAGCGCACGUAGGCGGACCAGAAAGUUGGGGGUGAAAUCCCGGGGGCUCAACCCCGGAACUGCCUCCAAAACUAUUGGUCUAGAGUUCGAGAGAGGUGAGUGGAAUUCCAAGUGUAGAGGUGAAAUUCGUAGAUAUUUGGAGGAACACCAGUGGCGAAGGCGGCUCACUGGCUCGAUACUGACGCUGAGGUGCGAAAAGUGUGGGGAGCAAAACAGGAUUAGAUACCCUGGUAGUCCACGCCGUAAAACGAUGAGUGCUAGUCGUCGGCAGGCAUGCCUGUCGGUGACGCAGCUAACGCAUUAAGCACUCCGCCUGGGGAGUACGGCCGCAGGUUAAAACUCAAA
rnacentral:rRNA from 1 species